UACAGAGGUCUCAAGCGUUUGUUCGGAUUCAUUGGGCGUAAAGGGUGCGUAGGUGGCGCUGUAAGUCGGGUGUGAAAUUUCGGAGCUUAACUCCGAAACUGCAUUCGAUACUGCGGUGCUUGAGGACUGGAGAGGAGACUGGAAUUCAUGGUGUAGCAGUGAAAUGCGUAGAGAUCAUGAGGAAGACUAGUGGCGAAGGCGGGGUCUCUGGACAGUUCCUGACACUGAGGCACGAAGGCCAGGGGAGCAAACGGGG
rnacentral:rRNA from 1 species